UUAAAGAAAAUGCUCAGAAAACUAAAUAAGACUAGAAUUCAGCUCUUUUUAUCAUACAAAAAAAUAAAAAGUCACUUGGAGUUCCCUUGUGGCUCAGUGGAUUAAGGAUCCAGCGUUAUCAGUGCUGUGGCUGUGGUUAUAGCUGUGGUGUGGGUUUGAUCUCUGGCCAAAAAAAAAAAAAAAGGCAUUAAAGGUCACAUUAGAUCUUCUGUUAUGUAAGUUAAGACAGUGUUUGUCCAUGUUAAAAAUGCUGCAUUUUAUUUUAUUUUAUUUUUAUUUUUAUUUUUUGGCUGCAUUUAGGGCAUGCAGAAAUUCCUGGGCCAGUGAUUGAACCCAAACCACAGCAAUAACCCAAGCCACAGCAGUGACAAUUGCUGAGUUCUUAAGUGCUAGGCCACCAGGGAACUCCCCAAAAUGCUACUUUUUGUUCUUUUCUUUUUUAGGGCCACACCCACAGCAUAUGGAAGUUCCCAGGGGUUGAACUGGUGCUGCAGCCACUGGCCUAUAUCACAGCAACAGCAACGCCAGAUCUGAGUCGCAUCUGUGACCUAUGCUGGAGCUUGCAGCACUGCUGGAUCCUUAACCUACUGAGGGAGGCCAGGUAUCAAAGCUGCAUCAUCAUGGAUACUCGUCAGGUUCUUAACCCACUGAGCCACAACAGGAACUCCAAAAAUGCUACAUUUUAAAUACUGAAAACAUACAAAGUAAAAGUGCUUCUUAGGCUCAGCAUGUACUAGGAGACCUGCUAAGAGUAAGGCCUUUUUUCUGUAAUUUUGUCCUAUGUGAUAUCUAAUUGAAAUAAGACAGCAUAUAUAAAAAUAAGUUAAUACAAUAGGCCCAAGACUGCUCUUCUUAGAAACACCUGCUUGCAAGGCUGGCCCUUGACUGCUGGUGCCUGGUAACUUAGAUCUGAGAAGAGUUCUCAGCAUUUCCUGGUAAGAAUGGCUCACGGUGCCUGAACCAUUUGGGCAAACAGUAUGGUUUCUGUUGAAUAUCUGCUCACGUUCCAGGAGUAUAGAAUUUGGGUACAUGCCCAGCAGUAGGUUCCAAUGUGACCAGCCCCAAUAAAAAAACCCCAGACACUGAAUCACUAAUGAGCUUCCCUGGUAGGUGAUAUUUCACAGGUGGUGUCACAGCUCAGUGAAAUUAAGCACAAGCUAUGUGAUUUUACUGGGAAAGGACCCUUGGAAGCUUGCUGCUGGUCUCCUCCAGACUUUAUCCUGGGUGCCUUUUUCUUUGCGGAUUUUGCUUGGUAUCCUUUUUUUGCAACAAAUAGCCAUGAAUUUGACUAUAUACUGGUGCCUUUUUCUUUGCGGAUUUUGCUUGGUAUCCUUUUCUUGCAACAAAUAGCCAUGAAUUUGACUAUAUACUGGGUCCCAUGAGUCAUCAAAAUGAGAGUGGUCUUGGGGACCCUGACCCAAUCAGCUUUGCAAAAACUUGAAUAUUCUGUCUGUUGUAUUAGUGGUAAAUGACACAGAUAUUUUUAGCAUGCAAUUAAUUGACCUUUGGCUUCGUAUCUUAACUUUUAGCCCAUCUUGUAAAAUGUAAUGCUUCAGAUUUCUAACAAUGAUCUAGCAUUUACAUCUAACAAAUGGAGGCAACAAGAAGGCUGCUCUGCAUUGGAGAGUUUUACGUUUAGUGGUGAAUCAACAACUGGUUCUUUGGUCUUCCCAAUGUCUAUACUUAGGCUUAAAAGCUUCUUGCUUUAAUUUCCUAUAAUUUGGUUAUUAGGCAAAUGGAUUUACUCAAAUUCCCUUGGAAUUCAUAGCCACAGAAUUUUAGCUAGACAGUCUCAUUUCUAAGUAUGCUCUGAUUCUGAAGCUUAACUGCAAAUCAGUAGUCCUAGAAACUUCCCUUAGGACAGCAGACCUUUGCCCAAAUAGGACAUAAGGCCCAAAGAUUGAAAUGAAGCUUAUUUUUGCAUAAUUGUGUUAUAAUAGCAUUUUGUUUUAAUUUUUGAAUAUUCAAAUGGAAAACUGAUAAAAGUGCUAAACAUAAAGAUUUAUUUCUUAAAGCUGCAUUUGAAAAAGGAAAAUAGCUGGCUUCUGGAGAAUAGUAUUUAUAUGGUUUAAAAAUAUUAAAUAUACUCCAAAGUGGUGAGUCUUAAGGCUUAUGGUUGACUAGUGUAUUUUUGUUGAUAAUAACUAAGCUUGAAUGACAUUGUGGAAGCCACUGUUGUUAAUGUUUUACGUAUAGUGCCUCAUUUAAUUUCCAUCGUAACUUUGUGAGGUAGCUGUUAUUAACUCCACUUUGAGACAGAGUGGAUUUAAACAAUUAACUCCACUUUGAGACAGAGUGGAUUUAAACAAUUUUUCCAAAGUUAAAUGGUUGGCUGGCCAGAACCUGGGAGAACUAGACUUUGAAUUCUCUGUAGGCUAAGCUCUUAAUCACUCUGCUUUCCUGAUCACAUGGUGGCAUCUCAGCUGGCACUGCAGAACACUGGUUACAUGAAGAACCUUACACAUUUACCCUGAGGUAUAGGGAUGAUCCGAUCCUUUUAUGCUAAGAGUGAGAAAUGUUCAUCUCCUUGGUUUCUAAGGGUCAGGAAGCAUAAGUGGGAUCCUUGCAGAACACAAAACUGAGCAUGUCACUCCUCGAUCCCACUAUCUUGGGGGAAAAAUCCAAAUAUCAUAAUAAGGGAUUAUGAUUUUUUUUUCUUUCUUUUUUUUUUUUUUUUGUCUUUUUGCCUUUUCUAGGGCCCCUUCCGGGGCAUAUGGAGGUUCCCAGGCUAGGGGUCUAAUCGGAGCCGUAGCCACCGGCCUAUGCCAGAGCCACAGCAACGCAGGAUCCGAGCCGCGUCUGCAACCUUCACCACAGCUCACAGCAACGCCGGGCCCUUAACUCACUGAGCAAGGCCAGGGAUCGAACCCGCAACCUCAUGGUUCCUAGUCGGAUUCGUUAACCACUGUGCCACGACGGGAACUCCAAGGGAUUAUGAUAUUUAAGAGCCUCUUUAAGAGCCAGCCUUUCCCCAUUUCAGCCAAGCUGACUUUUCUCUUGUUCACGUACAUACAAACCUCGUUCUACUUUGCUCCUUAAGGCCUUUGCACAUGCUAUUCCUUCUGCUGUAAAUAACCUCACCCCCACCUUGUCUGCCUUUUCUUCAUCCUUCAGAUCCGAAUUGAGAAACCCUUCUUCCAGGAGGCCUUCCCUGAUCUUCCUGAACCAGGGGAUGAGGGUGGGGGUGUGCCUUGGCAAUGUGUCCCUCUUGAGUCUUGAUUUUAACUAGCCAGACAUUUAUCUCCCUGUGUUGUAGUUAUUUGUGUGUUUCCCCAACUAGAUGUGAGCUGUUUGAGAGCAGAGACAAGGUCUGUCUAGUUGGCUUGGUCACAGCAGAACCAGACAUUCAAAUAGCAGACAUUCAAAAAUCUAAACAAAGCUUCAAGUUUCAAAAGGUGAGGCAGAAUUAACCAUUGAGCUCUCAGAGUAUAUGAAUAAACUGCUAGGUGUCAUAGAUGAGGCUCUACUCUCAUGUAAUAGUCAGAAAUCAUCAGUUACAGCAUGACGACGAAUAUUCUACUUUUGUUAUUGAAACCCACAUUAAGCAGGUCAUCAGUGACAAAUUCAUGAGCUUAAAUACUAAGCUUUCUGCUGGUGGGUUCCUUUCCAAGACCAAACUCCAUUUUGGAAAUCUGAAGAAGGAAGUUUUCUAUCCCCCAGUUGUAUGCACAAGCCCAAGCGUUUCACUGGGCUGCAGUAGGUCCACAUAUCAACUACAAACCCCAACUUGGGAGAACCUGCUCAGACAUGGUUAAAGAUGUAUCAGCACUUUGGAGAGCAGCUCACCCCGAUAUUACUUGCCCGUAGUAAAAGUCACCUAGAAUUAGCCAGCUCUAGGUAACAAGAGGACCCAUUUCUUCAAUCUACUAUAGCGGUUGUCUGUGGACUUCAGUAAUUUUUUAGAUAUGGAAAAAAUGUCCUAAAAAAUGCUUCAUAAAGAAAAUAUGUUGGCAAAGACAACGUUUUAACAUAAAAUCUUUGCUAAGUAAACUUAGCCACCUCUUUUAUAGCCGUUAAGAACAAAGUAAAAUUUCUAGCUGUGUAGCAGAAGAAAUUGGCACAACACUGUAAGUAAAUUCUACUUUAAUUUAAAAAAUCAGAAAUUCUAUUAUUCAUUAACUUUUAAUAGUAUUUAAAAUAGCAGGUAUCCUGAAAUCCCUAUGUUAGGAUGAAUGUUAUUUGAUGAAGGGAAGAAGAAAGAAGACUUUCUAAAUUAUAUUUGUCCCCUUCUGCCCAUUAGCAUUAAAUAAAUGUAGGAUUCAGGAUUUUCCCACUAAGAUUAGAGGUGGCAUUUAGACACAUCUUUAUGUCUUACUUUCUAUGUCCAUAGCAGGCAUGGCUGAAAAGGACAAAACAAUAAAAAAAAAAAAA
rnacentral:lncRNA from 1 species